ensembl:lncRNA
GAUCAUACCACCAUGUCAAUCGGUGCAAACCACACAUGUCCACUGACAUCAUAAAGAAGACGGAGCAGCCUCUGGGGCCAGCAGCAGAUAAAUGUUGGAGCACAAAGAAGCUUCCACAGGGCUCAGCUCGCUCUCUCUGAUUAAUGAUCGCGAUGCUCACAGAGGUUUGAAACAGUAAACGCCUCCGAGAGACACACUCAGGUCUAAACAUCUCUGAAGCAGAAAGAAGGGCAGUUGACAGGUCUGUAUGGAAACACUGCCAAAUGUGUACUAAAAGAAGCAAGCACACAGUUUUCUCCAAGGACGGUAUCCAACACCUCUGUGGCCCAGUUUGAGCUGAUCCAGUGUGUCAUAAGCUCAGGAUGGGUUCAUUUUUCAUGUGUGCAUCAAGGUCUAGCCUCAAGAAC